AAUAGAUACCCAGGUAGUCCACCCCGUAAACGUUGGGAACUAGUUGUGGGGUCCUUUCCACGGAUUCCGUGACGCAGCUAACGCAUUAAGUUCCCCGCCUGGGGAGUACGGCCGCAAGGCUAAAACUCAAAGAAAUUGACGGGGACCCGCACAAGCGGCGGAGCAUGCGGAUUAAUUCGAUGCAACGCGAAGAACCUUACCAAGGCUUGACAUACACCAGAACACCCUAGAAAUAGGGGACUCUUUGGACACUGGUGAACAGGUGGUGCAUGGUUGUCGUCAGCUCGUGUCGUGAGAUGUUGGGUUAAGUCCCGCAACGAGCGCAACCCUCGUUCUAUGUUGCCAGCACGUAAUGGUGGGAACUCAUGGGAUACUGCCGGGGUCAACUCGGAGGAAGGUGGGGAUGACGUCAAAUCAUCAUGCCCCUUAUGUCUUGGGCUUCACGCAUGCUACAAUGGCCGGUACAAAGGGCUGCAAUACCGUGAGGUGGAGCGAAUCCCAAAAAGCCGGUCCCAGUUCGGAUUGAGGUCUGCAACUCGACCUCA
rnacentral:rRNA from 1 species